GACGAACGCUGGCGGCGUGCCUAACACAUGCAAGUCGAACGGAGAAUCAGCAAUGGUUCUUAGUGGCGAACGGGUGAGUAACGCGUAGACAACCUGCCUUCUAGAUGGGGACAACACUGCGAAAGUGGUGCUAAUACCGAAUGUUGUAAUAAGCCUGCAUGGGGUUAAUACUAAAGGUGGCCUCUGACAUAAGCUAUCACUAGAAGAUGGGUCUGGGUCUGAUUAGUUAGUUGGUGAGGUAAUGGCUCACCAAGGCGAUGAUCAGUAGCCGGGCUGAGAGGAUGAACGGCCACACUGGGACUGAGACACGGCCCAGACUCCUACGGGAGGCAGCAGUGGGGAAUCUUCCGCAAUGGACGAAAGUCUGACGGAGCAACGCCGCGUGAGUGAAGAAGGUUUUCGGAUCGUAAAGCUCUGUCUUUGAGGACGAAUGUGUCUAAUGUGAAUAAUGUUAGAUAAUGACGGUACUCGAGGAGGAAGCCACGGCUAACUACGUGCCAGCAGCCGCGGUAA
rnacentral:rRNA from 1 species